UCCUCGGCUGGGUCGGUUUCGACCCGGUCGACUGGGAGUCGUCCAAGUGGCCCGCGCAGAUCGCGAUCUCCGUGAUCGUCAUCUGGCGGUGGACC
rnacentral:tRNA from 1 species